CUGUUUGCCAGGACAACCCAUCAGCAUUGCCAUUUUGCUUACCGGGUCUGUAGCUGAUGGUAAAGUUGUAAGGUUGCAGGGAUAAGCUCCUCCGCAGCAACCUGCCAUUGUCUCCUGAGACCCGGUUAAGUCAGACCAAUGGGUUGUGGUCGGUGACUAACGAAAAUUCCUGUCCGUACAAGUAAGGGUUCAAACCAGGGCCAAACACUCCUUCUCCACUGCCGCAUAGCUCACUUCCCGGGGUAAUAG